GUAAAUUUUUGUAUUAAUAAAAAAUAAAAAAAUAAAAUAAAAUAAAAAAUAUCUGUUCUUAUCAGUUUAAUAUCUGAUACGUCCCCCAUCGGGGGACUACAUAUUAAAUGGAUUUUUCGAACAGGGAGUCGGAAAUGGGGCUUGCUCCGUCCGCUCCACGCAUCGACCCGGUAUUGCAGUACCUCCGGGAACGGUGCAACACUU
rnacentral:snRNA from 1 species